GUAUUUACGCAUAAAAGAAAUAUAUAUUUAUUAUUAAACAGCCUGUAUUUUCUUGUAAUAUUGCAAAGGUCGAGGCUCACUCAUUGCACUUCGGGUGGGCUGAAGCCUGCGAUCACCCCAAAUGUGGGUGACUCGGGUGCGUAAUUUUUGCGUAUGGGGGAACUGCGUUCGCGCUAAUCCCUG
rnacentral:snRNA from 1 species